GCAGCCCACGCUCAAUCCACUGAGCUACGCCAGCCAGGAUGUAUAAACUUUUUAAUAAGCAGGCCUGUGUCUAUAGAAGAAAAAAACAGUCAGCUUCUUGUCAAGUUGAAAAGAAGACAAUCCAG